UAGAGAGAGAGAGAGAGAGAAUUAGGCUACUAUACUAUCUAUAAUAGCGGAUCUCCGGUACUAUAGUCUUAUUUUCGAUCUUAGGAUGUUCAAAUUAACGAUCCACACCGUUAAAUAUGAUUUAGGGUAUAUGAAGUUUAUAGGAAUAAAAUUUUAGUUUUCUUCGACAUCAUUUACUUAAUAAAUAAAUUAUGUCAAAAUAGACGGUGGAAAUUGAAUAAUUUUUAAAAUUUGAGCAUAGGACUUUUAAAUUCAAGAUCAAGAAUGUUAACCUUAAUCUAGAUAGUUUAAAGUAUUUUUUAUCAAAAUUUGAAGAAAUUUAGAUUCUUCUCUACCGUUAAACUCCAAACUCGCCAUAGUAGCCAUUGAAAAUUGACAAUUUUGAAAUGGUUUGAUCAUAAAGUAAACUAUGUUGAAAAAAUAUAAAAUUUUAUUUCUAACAACUUUAAAUACCCUAAAUCAGUUUUAACUGUGUGGAUCGAUAAUUUGAACACCCUAAAAUCGAAAACGGGACUAUAGUACCUGAGCCCCGGUACCAUAAAUAGUAUAGGAGACUAGCUCUCUCUCUCUCUCUCUCUAUAUCUAUAUCUAUAUUAUAUAUAAAAGCGUAUAGGAAUUCCGACAAUGAUAGACGGAAUCUAAAAAAUAAUAAAAUAAUAUUCCCUACAAAUGGGUUUGAUUAAUUGUUAAAAAUAUCUCAAAUAAAAAUGAACGGUUAUGAUCAAUCUAUUAGAUCUCUACUAUGUAUAAAAAUCUAUUCCUUAAAAAAUAUCUCAAAUAAAAAUAAACGGUUAUGAUCAAUUUGUUAAAAAUAGCAUUCCUAUUCAUCUAUUUUACAUUAAACUUAAAAUUUGAGUUUAAAUUAUAAAUUAAAUUUAAUUUGUACCAAAUUUGAAUCAACAAUUAAUUUUUUUAUUACAGUGGAUCAAAAUUAAAUUUUAAAUUUUAAAGUAAAUGUGAAUUAAAUUUUGAUGCUUUUAGUUUAAAAUACAUAUUUAAAUUUAAUUCAUCAAAAAUAAAAAAGUAUAUAAAAAUGUUCAAUGUAUAUAAAAAAAAGAACAUGGUAGGAUAUUAUAAAUAUUUUCUAAUAAAAUAUAACAUAUUAAUUUAUAAAUAUAAUUUUUAUUGUAAAAUUUUGGAUAUAUAUAAUGUACAAAUUUAUAUUGAUUUGAAAUAAAUUAUAAUAAUUGUUACGUGCAUUUGCACGUACAUUCAACUAGUAUAUAUAUAUAUAUAUAUAUAUAUAUAUAUAUAUAUAUAUAUAUAUAUAUAUAUAUAUAUAUAUAUAUAUAAUGAAAAAAAAAAAAUUAAAAAAACGUUUGUUUAUCGAUGCAAAAAAUCAAAGGUAAGUUUAUCUCCUUUAGUAAAUAUUUCGAACACAAUUUUUUUCCUCUAUAUCGAGGGUAAUCCAGCAUCUCAUAUAUGAAAUAAUAAAAUUUCAUAAAUACAUUUAUCAACCACAAAUAACUAAACAAUAUUUAUAGUUAUUAUACUUUCUGCUAUUUCCAAUCAAAUAAAAUAUAUGUAAUUAUAAUUGUUAUAUUUUUAAUUAUAUGCAAUUUUAAAUUAUAUUGUAUUUAGGGGCUAUUUGGUUGUAUGUUGUAAUUACAUGCAAAUACAAAUUCGAUAUUUAGUUUGAUGUAUUUAACUCCAACUACUGUAGUAUGAAUUGCAGGAGGAGGCCCAACUGCAGUAGUUCAAACUACCCUUCAAUUGGCCACAAUUCCAACUGCAGCAGUUGAAGAGAGUAACUUUAAACAAAAUAUAUGCUUACCUUCUUAAUUAUUUUUUAAACAAAAAUUAUUAUUAUUUUUUAUAUUAGAGCUAAUCUCACCAUCAUUUUAUUCUCAAUUGCAUGUAACCAAAACAAAUUAUUUAUAGUUACAAUGCUUUUUACUACAUCCAACCAAAUUGGAUGCAUAUAGUUAUAACUGUUGUAUUUUUUACUGCAUGUAUUUUUAAUUAUACUGUAUUUAUAAUUACAUCUAACUUAACGACUUCUUAGGUGUUAUUAUUCUUAGAUUAAAAAAUUGGCCUAUUUUUGCAGAAAAC
rnacentral:lncRNA from 1 species